rnacentral:rRNA from 1 species
AACGAACGCUGGCGGCAGGCCUAACACAUGCAAGUCGAACGAAGUCUUCGGACUUAGUGGCGGACGGGUGAGUAACACGUGGGAACGUGCCUUUAGGUUCGGAAUAACUCAGGGAAACUUGUGCUAAUACCGAAUGUGCCCUUCGGGGGAAAGAUUUAUCGCCUUUAGAGCGGCCCGCGUCUGAUUAGCUAGUUGGUGAGGUAAAGGCUCACCAAGGCGACGAUCAGUAGCUGGUCUGAGAGGAUGAUCAGCCACAUUGGGACUGAGACACGGCCCAAACUCCUACGGGAGGCAGCAGUGGGGAAUAUUGCACAAUGGGCGCAAGCCUGAUGCAGCAACGCCGCGUGAAUGAUGAAGGUCUUAGGAUUGUAAAAUUCUUUCACCGGGGACGAUAAUGACGGUACCCGGAGAAGAGGCCCCGGCUAACUUCGUGCCAGCCGCCGCCGUAAAAC